rnacentral:rRNA from 1 species
AGAGUUUGAUCAUGGCUCAGGAUGAACGCUGGCGGUAUGCCUAACACAUGCAAGUCGUACGGGAGUUUUUAACUCCAGUGGCGGACGGGUGAGUAACACGUGAGAAUUUACCUUUAGGAGGGGGAUAACAGAUUGAAAAGCCUGCUAAUACCCCAUAUGCUUUCGAGUGAAAUGAAUUUAUUCGCCUAGAGAGAAGCUCGCGGCUGAUUAGCUUGUUGGUAAGGUAAUGGCUUACCAAGGCGACGAUCAGUAUCUGGUUUGAGAGGAUGAUCAGACACACUGGAACUGAGACACGGUCCAGACUCCUACGGGAGGCAGCAGUGGGGAAUUUUCCGCAAUGGGCGAAAGCCUGACGGAGCAAUACCGCGUGAGGGAUGACGGCCUAUGGGUUGUAAACCUCUUUUCUCAGGGAGGAACUCAAGGACGUGACCUGAG